UGACUGGCACGUGAUCGCCGUCUCCUGUGCCGCGCCGGAAAGCUUAGAAAAAAAUUUCUGCCAAACCGAGGAAGCCGAUGUUUGGAGGCGGGAGUUCACCAGAAUACGGUUUCUUAUUUCCAUAGCUAAAGCUAUCCUUGUGAUGUGACGUUAUAUUAUGAUUCCUGCUCAUAGAAUUUAGAAUAGAACCUCUGCUUUGUUAGAAAUAGGGAAACCCAAGAUGGAGUCACAGUGGCCAGUGUGGCACCCAUCUUGAUUGUUUCUAAAGAUCUGAUGUAAGAUUUGGCAUAUGUAAAUUAAGAUAACUGGAGUGUGAAGUCAAAUAAGUAAGGCUCCUUGCUGCUGGGGUUGUAACUGUUGCACCCUAGGGAUUGUACCUCACAAAAGACAGGGUCUGAGUGCGGUUGCUGGAGAAGGGUCUCGAUGGACCGCAUGCGCUACGCUCACUGGAGACUGUCCGCGUCGGAAGCUGCCGGAGUAGAAGCCCAGGCUCCAUCCUGCACCAUGAGGGGCUCUGCAUGUGCAUGGCCACCCAGCCCCCAAGUGCAAGGAUAGUCACCCGCUGUCCUGUGAGCAGUCACCCCCAAUAGCCCUAAAGGGAGGACACAUGCUGGGAAGAGACUGGCUCAGAUGGUCCUGAUCUGAGCUUGGAGUGAUGUUCUGGAGUCCCCGUUUCUCCAAUUUAGCCCUGAUGCACAGUGAUACUGACUUCCGGUCCUUGGAAACCACCUGUCAGUCACCAGGGCCAUGACUUGCUAAGGGAAUAUGAAAGGCUGUAAGAAGUUUUGGCAUUUCUUGUUCGGGUGGAUUUUCCUUAAGGAAAAGUCUCAUGAAAAGAAGAAUCCUCAACAUUUCUGCUGUAGAACCACAGCAACUCUAUUCAUUAGCUCUCUUGAGUGCUAUUAGGUUUUUUUUUUUCUUUUGUUCACUAGUUUCACGAAGAUUCUACCUUACCAUCAAAAAGAAUGUUUUAAAAACCAAAUUUUAUCCCACUCCCUCGCAGUGAGUUAUGGGCUCAUGGGGAAAGGAUCCCCCACUUUUGACUGUUCUAAGAAAGAGUGAGAAAUACUCUGGGAUUAAGCAUUUGAAAAAAUACUCCUGGGACUUCCCUGGUGGUCCAGUGGGUAAGACUCUGCACUCCCAAUGCAGGGGGCCCGGCUUCGAUCCCUGGUCGGGGAGCUAGAUCCUGCAUGCAUGCCUCAACUAAGAGUUCGCAUGCCUCAACUAAGACCCAGUGCACCCAAAAUAAAUAGAUAUUUGAAAAAACACUCAAAGAAAUACAUUUUUCAAUCAUUUUAAAAUAACACUUUUUCUCAUUACAAAAGUACUACACAUUCACCAUGGAAAGUUUGGAAGAUGCUGAGAAUUAAAAUGAAGAAAAUGUAAAUUAUCUAUAAAUUUAUAACCACCUAUUAACACCUGUUAACAUUUUGCCUUUUAAAAAGUGAU